GGCAUGGUCUCGUGACAAUAUUAUUUUAAUAGAUACAAAAAUGUAAUUUUGUUAUGUAUUAUUGGAUACCGUAAUAAUUAUCAGGUUGUGUCCAUAGUCAUUAGGAACUAGCAUAUUAUUGCUGCUUUUGUAUGAUGCUAAUCACUUUUUCGGUCUAUAAGAAUAUCGUUCAUGAUUUGCAUAUUCCGUUAUAGCAUUUCUAAUGGUGUUUUAUUUUCUACUUUUUGCUUCAUUUUUUGUUCUAUUGGUACUUCAUUAUUUUUUUUAUUUUUUACAUUUUUUUGAAAAAUUGAACAUUAUUUCUUCAAAUUUGAAAAAUAUUAUGUACUUCUUCAUUUCUUAAGAUACACUUUCUUAAUUACAGGUCCUUUAACUUUUUUUUUAUAAGUUUUUACUUAAAUAAGCUAUAAGAGGUAAUAUUACCAACUUAUUUUUAUUUAAUCAAUUUUAAAUAUUAAAUAUACUAAAAAUAUGAUAAUAUUUUCAAAAACUUUUGGUUCGAUUUAGAAGAAUUAAAGAUCAAGAAGCUCAUUUCACUCUUAGAAAAAAUUUAAUUGAUCGAUCACUUGUGGAAAAAAUAUACAUCUCAUGUUUCCUUAUUUAUGCUAUGUGUACUAAUUAUAUUAUAUGAUAAUAUUU
rnacentral:lncRNA from 1 species